rnacentral:rRNA from 1 species
UCCUUUACUGACGCUAAAGCUCGAAGGUGCGGGUAUCGAACAGGAUUAGAUACCCUGGUAGUCCGCACGGUAAACGAUGGAUGCCCGCUGUUUGCGAUAUACUGUGAGCGGCCAAGCGAAAGCGUUAAGCAUCCCACCUGGGGAGUACGCCGGCAACGGUGAAACUCAAAGGAAUUGACGGGGGCCCGCACAAGCGGAGGAACAUGUGGUUUAAUUCGAUGAUACGCGAGGAACCUUACCCGGGCUUGAACUGCAGCAGAACGAUUGAGAGAUCAUGAGGUCCUUCGGGACUGCUGUGGAGGUGCUGCAUGGUUGUCGUCAGCUCGUGCCGUGAGGUGUCGGCUUAAGUGCCAUAACGAGCGCAACCCCUCUCUUCAGUUGCCAUCAGGUUAUGCUGGGCACUCUGGAGACACUGCCACCGUAAGGUGUGAGGAAGGUGGGGAUGACGUCAAAUCAGCACGGCCCUUACGUCCGGGGCUACACACGUGUUACAAUGGGUGGUACAGAGCGUCGGCGGCCUGCAAAGUCCGUCCAAUCGCAAAAUCCAUCCUCAGUUCGGACUGGGGUCUGCAACCCGACCCCACGAAGCUGGAUUCGCUAG